GACGAACGCUGGCGGCGUGCCUAAUACAUGCAAGUCGAACGAGAGCGACCGGUGCUUGCACUGGUCAAUCUAGUGGCGAACGGGUGAGUAACACGUGGGUAACCUGCCCAUCAGAGGGGGAUAACAUCCGGAAACGGAUGCUAAAACCGCAUAGGUCUUCGAGCCGCAUGGCUUGAAGAGGAAAAGAGGCGCAAGCUUCUGCUGAUGGAUGGACCCGCGGUGCAUUAGCUAGUUGGUGAGGUAACGGCUCACCAAGGCCGUGAUGCAUAGCCGACCUGAGAGGGUGAUCGGCCACAUUGGGACUGAGACACGGCCCAAACUCCUACGGGAGGCAGCAGUAGGGAAUCUUCCGCAAUGGACGCAAGUCUGACGGAGCAACGCCGCGUGAGUGAAGAAGGUUUUCGGAUCGUAAAACUCUGUUGUUAGAGAAGAACAAGUGCUAGGGUAACUGUUAGCGCCUUGACGGUAUCUAACCAGAAAGCCACGGCUAACUACGUG
rnacentral:rRNA from 1 species